rnacentral:rRNA from 1 species
CCUACGGGAGGCAGCAGUGAGGAAUAUUGGUCAAUGGACGGAAGUCUGAACCAGCCAUGCCGCGUGCAGGAUGACGGCUCUAUGAGUUGUAAACUGCUUUUGUACGAGAAUAAUAUUUCUUACGUGUAGGGCUUUGAAUGUAUCUUACGAAUAAGGAUCGGCUAACUCCGUGCCAGCAGCCGCGGUAAUACGGAGGAUUCGAGCGUUAUCCGGAUUUAUUGGGUUUAAAGGGUGCGUAGGCUGGAGGAUAAGUUAGAGGUCAAAGGUCGGGGCUUAACACCGUGCAUGCAGCUGAUACUGUUCGACUAGAGAGCGGAUGCAGCAGGCGGAAUGAGUAGUGUAGCGGGGAAAUGCUUAGAUAUUACUCAGAACACCGAUUGCGCAGGCAGCGUGCUAAGCCGCAUCUGACGCUGAUGCACGAAAGCGUGGGUAGCGAACAGGAUUAGAUACUCCUGUAGUC